UAGGAUAGCCUCCACGGGCUUACGCGUGGGAUAGCUGCCACGAGCUUAUGCGUGGGAUUUGUGCAGUCUUGGACUGGGUCAUGAACUUGGUUAGUCCAACGCCAGAAGUAAAAAGUCUGAAGACUUGGGAAUCAUGGUAUUACGUGAAUGAAUCACGAAAUGUGAAAAAGGGAUUUAUGUAUACAAAAUGGUUUGUGUAUAUAUUUGUUAUUUGUUGAGCCUUUUGAAAUGAUGAAAUGACAUAUAUUUGAUGCAUUGAUUAUUUUAUGAUUUUU
rnacentral:lncRNA from 1 species